ACAACGAGAUUUCCGAUUAUGAAGCUCGCCGGCGGCCAUGGAAGGCCGGUGGCCGGUUAUGCGACGGUCAACGGGCUCGUCGCACCUGCAGGAACUGGACUUCGAUGGCCUCGACUCACAUCUAGGCUUCGGCGAGCUUGUUGUGAAUCUGCAGUUUCAGCGUGGCUUCGGUUUUCAGAUUUGGGAGUUUGGAGGGCAUGGGAUGCUAGGUCUCAAAUUCGGCCAGUAAUUGGCUGCUUCUGGGGUUUGGUUUAUUCUGACCCAAUUACAUAAUUUGAAUAUCUGGAUUCAAUUGGUUUAUUUGAUAGAUUUGAAUUCACUGGCCAACAUAUGGCCGGCGAAUUAUGCAUAUUUUUAUGGGAAUUAUCAUCUGUUUAGACUUAUCUUAUGCUUCUACAGUUUUGUCUGCUGGGUUGGUUUCAGUCCAUUUGUUGCUGCAGUUUUUGUCUUACCUGUUUUGAUAGAUAGUUAUGAAGAUGGUUCCUUUCCUGGGUGGCUAGCACAACUCUCUGAGACAUUUGGACUCUUAGGUUAGACCCUUGAAGGGUUAAUUACACUCUAUUUUGGUUGUUGCUAAUUUGGACAUAGUCUCUUUCAGCUAAGUAGUAACAAUCUCUUCUUUGUACAACUAGCUAGCUGAUUUUGGAUUAUCUUAUUCUUGCAUUACUCCAUUCUAGCUGAAAUGAGACUUGAUUGAUGUGGAUUAUUUGGAUUAAAUCCAAUUGUCUACAAUUAAAAUACCCUUCUUUGUUUUUUCUGUAUAAUAUUAAUGGUUAUUCUAUCCAAAUAAUAGGAUGUUUUUAUCAUUCUAUUUAAAAAUAAUAUAAUUUAUCACCAAACAAGAUGAUUUGAAUCAUUUUUCAAAUAACUCCAAAUCAAACAAACCCCGUUUUCCUUUCUUUAGAAAAGGAUGAAUCCUUUUAUUAAAAUGCAAAUGAAAACAAUUGUUCUUCAAUAUUCCUUUGUCAGAUCAAUUGGCCAAUCAUCAUCAAUGUCCAUUCCUUCAUAUUAGCUAAUUAUGGGCUGUGUUGGCAACUUUGUUCCAGAUUUCACUUUGAAUAGUGAUAUAUUCAUGAAUUUAAUUCUAAACCUUUUGUCGAUUCUAUUUUUUGCCCCAAAUAUCAUUGCAUUCCAAUUUUUCCAAUUUUGUAGUCACAAGCUACAAAAGAACACUUGCAUAAAGUUGGUAAGAAGUAGACUUGCAUUAUUCCUGUUUUUCUGCUUGUAACUCUUAUUCCGACAUUCUUAAUAUAUGUAAUUGCUUUGUAGCAAACAAAGGGGAGAGAGUUUUAAAGAUGCCACUUUUUCUAUAUGUAAAUAUUGAGAAAAUAUAUGCACCCAAGGUAGCUCAAGUGGGAUUUUUUGGGCUUGAGAGGUUGAGGUCUCAAGUUCGAUUCUCACUAAAAGCACCUUAAUUGAAGUGAGGGUUCCUUCAGGGAAUAAACCCUGAUUUUAUAUUGAAGAAAAUAUACCUCUUGCAUUUUGCCUUUCUAUUCUAUUUUGGUAUUCAUACUAGUUUUCAGGUGUGACAUCUCAUGGGGGUUGACAUAGAGAAGUCUACUACAUCUGCCUUGGAUAUGGUGGAAGCACAUUCAAAUAUGCUUACUGUGAGAUUUGAAUGUUGUGUUGGAAACUUUGGAACAUCACUUUGAUUAUGGAUUGUUUUGGUGGGUAGUGAUCAGGUGGCUUGUGCCUUGACCUACAUUUUGGUUGAAUUAUUGUGUGUUUCCUUUGUUCCCUUAGGAUGAUCUAGAUUUUUCAUGUUCUAGCCUCUAUGAAUUUUGUAUGUGUUUUUUAUAACCACUUUUAUGUCU